CNGGAUUUAUUGGGCGUAAAGGGAGCGCAGGCGGUUUAGUAAGUCUGAAGUUAAAGGCAUUGGNUCAUCCAAUGUAUGCUUUGGAAACUGUUAGACUUGAGUGCAGAAGGGGAGAGUGGAAUUCCAUGUGUAGCGGUGAAAUGCGUAGAUAUAUGGAGGAACACCGGUGGCGAAAGCGGCUCUCUGGUCUGUCACUGACGCUGAGGCUCGAAAGCGUGGGUAGCGAACAGGAUUAGAUACCCUGGUAGUCCACGCCGUAAACGCUGAGUGCUAGGUGUUAGGUCCUUUCCGGGACUUAGUGCCGACGCUAACGCAUUAAGCACUCCGCCUGGGGAGUACGACCGCAAGGUUGAAACUCGAAGGAAUUGACGGGGGCCCGCACAAGCGGUGGAGCAUGUGGUUUAAUUCGAAGCAACGCGAAGAACCUUACCAGGUCUUGACAUCCCGAUGCCCGCUCUAGAGAUAGAGUUUUUCUUCGGAACAUCGGAGACAGGUGGUGCAUGGUUGUCGUCAGCUCGUGUCGUGAGAUGUUGGGUUAAGUCCCGCAACGAGCGCAACCCUUAUUGUUAGUUGCCAUCAUUAAGUUGGGCACUCUAGCGAGACUGCCGGUAAUAAACCGGAGGAAGGUGGGGAUGACGUCAAAUCAUCAUGCCCCUUAUGACCUGGGCUACACACGUGCUACAAUGGUUGGUACAACGAGUCGCAAGCCGGUGACGGCAAGCUAAUCUCUGAAAGCCAAUCUCAGUUCGGAUUGUAGGCUGCAACUCGCCUACAUGAAGUCGGAAUCGCUAGUAAUCGCGGAUCAGCACGCCGCGGUGAAUACGUUCCCGGGCCUUGUACACACCGCCCGUCACACCACGAGAGUUUGUAACACCCAAAGUCGGUGAGGU
rnacentral:rRNA from 1 species